CCUACGGGUGGCAGCAGUGGGGAAUAUUGGGCAAUGGGCGAAAGCCUGACCCAGCAACGCCGCGUGAAGGAAGACGGCUUUCGGGUUGUAAACUUCUUUUGAUAGGGAAGAGAAGAAGACGGUACCUGUCGAAUAAGCCACGGCUAACUACGUGCCAGCAGCCGCGGUAAUACGUAGGUGGCAAGCGUUGUCCGGAUUUACUGGGUGUAAAGGGUGUGUAGAUGGGUUGACAAGUCAGAUGUGAAAUCUGGGGGCUCAACCGCCGAACUGCAUUUGAUACUGGUGGUCUUGAGUAUCGGAGAGGCAGGCGGAAUUCGUGGUGUAGCGGUGAAAUGCGUAGAUAUUACGAAGAACACCGAUGGCGAAGGCAGCCUACUGGACGGCAACUGACGGUGAGGCGCGAAAGCGUGGGGAGCAAACAGGAUUAGAUACCCGUGUAGUC
rnacentral:rRNA from 1 species